AGCGAACGCUGGCGGCAGGCCUAACACAUGCAAGUCGAACGAAGUCUUCGGACUUAGUGGCGGACGGGUGAGUAACACGUGGGAACGUGCCCUUUGGUACGGAAUAACUCAGGGAAACUUGAGCUAAUACCGUAUGUGCCCUUCGGGGGAAAGAUUUAUCGCCAUUGGAGCGGCCCGCGUCUGAUUAGCUAGUUGGUGAGGUAAUGGCUCACCAAGGCUACGAUCAGUAGCUGGUCUGAGAGGAUGACCAGCCACAUUGGGACUGAGACACGGCCCAAACUCCUACGGGAGGCAGCAGUGGGGAAUCUUGCGCAAUGGGCGAAAGCCUGACGCAGCCAUGCCGCGUGGAUGAUGAAGGUCUUAGGAUUGUAAAAUCCUUUCACCGGUGAAGAUAAUGACUGUAGCCGGAGAGGAAGCCCCGGCUAACUUCGUGCCAGCCGCCGCCGUAACAC
rnacentral:rRNA from 1 species